rnacentral:lncRNA from 1 species
UAGGGGCCUUUAUGUUGUAAAUAUAAUGGCAUCCUUCUGCUAGCUCAUAACAGUAAUUAAUUAACCCUUACAUCGAUGUAUGAAGAGUAGGUGAUACUCUUUUAACUAAAUAAACAAAACCUAGCAGGCGACGAGAUGGCCAGCUGGGUUUGAUAUACAAUAGCACAAUUUGUCGCUGCCGCAGUACGCAGGACUGCACCCUUUUGGGCAUUUCGCUACACAAUCGUUAGGGCUUGAACAUGCAACACUCAUUUCCCCAACAUUACCCAGCUGCUCUGAAUAUUCUCUCGCUGCUGCGAUCUCCUCCGCAAAACCUGUUCAAUACAUGCAACAAAGAAUUAUUACACGUUUAUUCUAUAAUAAUAAUAAUUCUUAAAGCUGCCUGCAUGUAAUUUUAAGAUUCGAUGAAACUCACAAAAAGACACCAACAGAACGACUAGCAAUAUUGCGCAGUGGAUGGAAGCUCUCUUCAUUCUGGAUGUAUUCUUUCUUACUUUUCUCUCUCUGUAUU